UUGUAAAAUGUAUGUAUUUAUGUAUUUUAAAUAUUGCGCAAUCACUUGAUUUAAAGUUUAUUUUAAUACUUUCACCUGUCCUACCUUACAUGCUUCGGCAUGAUUCAUCUGCAAAUGUAUUUUAUACUGUUUUAAUUGUGUGCUUUUAUUUAGUUGUUUUUAUUUGUUAUUUUGCAUUGGUAAUGAUCUGCUAUCUAUGGAAAGCACGUUGUGCUCCCAGCUUGAAAAGUGCCACCCAAAUUAAUAUUUUGUUAUCAUUUUGUAGAUUAAAUAUGGCUGUUACAUUCGUUUGGUGAUCAAGAGGCAUUCAUUUCUGAACUACCUGCAGCAGGUGUAGACAACUGAAAUGAUUAGGCAUGGUAUUUAAGGUGGUUGUUACGGCCUAUAUAGUGUGCCUAGGGGUACACAGGAAGUAACAUAAAAGGUGAUAGAAAACCUUGGCAAAAGUUUAACAAAGACCAAGAGGAUAAGGCAGCGGCAAUUAUACACAUUUACUAACAUUAUGGAUGAACAGAAACAAAUCAGCUGAAUAAGGAAGCGUAGCCGUCAGGGUCUCUAAGGCCAACAUAAUAAACAAAACCCCCAUGCUAACUGGAAAAGAAGAUAUCAGCUGAACUACGAACAAACAAAACACAAUACUGAACUCCCUAACUAGUCACAAAAACAGGAGAAAACUUUACCAAAAUAAAAGGCAGAGAACCCCUACAAAGCUUCCAUUAAGUUUGAACCCCAGGUAUGGCAGCACAACUGCUCUUGGCAACAGCAACACCGGCCCACAGUGAACAAACGAGGGCUGGGAACACUGGAUUCGGGGGUUGAUAUGCAGCUCCACUGACGAGAUGAGGACUCUCAGGUGUGGGUGCUUCAGUGAUCCUCAAGGGGCGUGGCAGACCUGCAAAGACAAACAGAGCUCUCUUCUAGAAAAGAGGCAUCGUUAAGUCAGGGGGUGUAACAGUGGUGUAACAUGGCAAAUGUUUGUGGGUUUGUGAGGAGUGAAUUUAGAUCAGAGACAUAGUAUAGUUGGAUAGUAGUAUAGUUGGAUAGUAGGAUAGUAGGAUAGUAGUAUAGUUGGAUACUGGAAUUCAAAGUCCACAACCGGUUUCCUGAGGGGUCAAGCAACAACCAAAAGUAUGUGAUCAAAAGGAGAGCCAGCACCUUCAGGAUAAAGGGUAAGGAUGCAUGCCACAUGGACUUUACAACACAAUGACCAUCUGAUAUGGUGAAACUCCCAAUGACUCUUAUACUAUGACAUUUAAACACCAGAUGGAGAGCUGUACUAUAUCUGCAGGUGGAAAAAAAACCGACCUGGGCACAUGGCAAAAGUUGUUUCAACUGCAGAGGAAGCCAACCGUGUGUUUGAGGAGUUUCACUGCAGCGAUAUUGGCGGUCACUGUGGAGUAGAAAAAACCCACAGUGCCAUUAUAUUGCGAUAUUAUUGGCCUGGCAUGGAGGAGGACAUUUGCAAGUGGAUUGCUCAGUGUCCACAGUGCCAGGCCAAGAGGGCCAAUAUCAAAGAAAAGCAGGAGUACACUCCAAUAGAGGUAACGGAGCCUCUUGAGCUGGUUGGUAUGGACCUAGUGGGAAAACUGACCGUAACAGAUGGUGGCAAUCAGUACAUAUGUGUCAUGGUUGAUUAUUUCACCAAAUGGGCAGAGGCCUACCCACUUAAGAGCAAGACAGCAGAUGAGGUCAACUAUAACCUGUGUGAGAAGCUGGGCAUCGAGAGAAGCCUGUACUCGCCCUAUCAUCCACAGACCAAUGGCCUUGUUGAAAAAUUAAAUGGCACAAUACAGAGGUCCCUGAACAAACUGGUUGUCGAUAAUCCAACAAGAUGGGACAGAGUCCUCCAGUCAACAAUGUUUGCCCUCCGCACCAAAAAACAGUUGACAACCAAGUACAGUCCCUAUUUUCUGAUGUUUGGGAGGGAGGCGCGGUACCCUUCAGAGGUGCCAAAGGCGUAUGACGUAACAGAGGAUAAAGUCUGCAGCCUGGUGGCACGAGAGGACCAAAGCCAAGGACUAAAAAAACAAAAAGAUAUUUUUAGUGAGGUCCAAGAAAAUAUAAAAAAAGGCCAGGAAAGGGUCCGUAAAAAGAGAGAAAUGGGCCAGGAAAAAGUGGGGGAUCUGGUUCUGUUAAAAAACAUUUGACAGGAGCAAAGAAAAGGGGGAAAAAUGGAGGCAGACAUGUUGGGUCCGUACAAAAUUGCCCAGCUGGAAGGGAAAAGUGCCGUUCUUUCCACAGAAAAGGGCAAAAAAGCAACCAAAACCAACAUAGACCACAUGACACACUAUUUCCAGCCAGAGGAGAGGAUCCCAGCCAAACUGAAACAAGUGUUGGAUCUUUCUCCUCUGGCUGGUCCACAACAGACACGGGCACUCAUACACAACACACAAACAUCCACACCACCACCACAAACAUCCACAACACCACCACCACAAACAUCCACAACACCACCACCAUCACCACAAACAUCCACACCACCACCGACUGGUUGUGAACAUCCAUCCAAGGGCCAAGAAACCACCAAUGUUGAAACUUGUAAGUAAACUGAUACAAAAUCCAAUCACAAAUUAUGAAUUUCUCAAAUAACUGUCAUUGUUAUGUUUACAGUAAUCCAAGACGUAUGGACAGGAAGGAGAGGGGAGACGCUGUGGUCAAGGAUUGGGCCGUAUAAGACUUUUUCUGAAAAUCUGAUGGUCUUGGCCCCGGGAAAACAGUUUGAGGGAGAGAUCGUGAAUGCAUACAUAACUCUGGUGGGAAGGAAAGCGAAUGCUACCAUUUUGGACACCUAUAUGAUGACGGCACUCUGGCAGGGAACUCACAAAGGUGGACACUGGACACUCAUUAUCAUGUAUCUUAAGGAAAUGCGGUCGUUAUACCUCAACCCAUUUGAAGCCACUGACGAGCAGAUUAAUAAAUGCAAAGAUGUCACAAGAGCACUAGUCCGUAAGAAGUGUCCAGCAGUUGGGAGAUGGACAUGCUCCACAAUUGAUCAUCCCAUUCAAGUGGAUGCCACUUCAUGUGGCGUGUUUGUGUGCAAGCUUGCAGAGCAGAUAUUGUUGAACAAAACAAUUCAGUACCCUGUGGACGUGAGGGUGUGGCGAAGUUGAGGCUGGAAAUGGCAGUGACUCUGCUGAAUAGAUAACCUAUCCCAACUGUGUCGGGCUUGUGGGGAGCUCAGCUCAGGGGCUGAGAUUGACGAGUGGGUAAGAAGAUUCAUUUAUAUCCUGACCAACAACAUUUGGCUGGAAGACUGGGGUGCACCUUACCUCAACAUCACCGGGUGAACACUCACAAUCCCACAGCGACUGAAAAUGUCUAGUUUAAGUCACCUAACUUGCAUGUCUUUGCACUUUCGGAGGACACUGGAGCAGCUGAAGGAACACAGCUAAGAUUUACACACAGUAUCUGAGAUUCAUACAAUGCGUGCACAGGAUUAUAAGGACUGACUGUUUAAUGAAGUUAAAAUAGCUUAAUUUUACACCCUAAUCUGGAUGAGUGAUGUCAACCAGACAAAAUGUAAGAAAAUACUCAUGGCAAUAUUUUUCACUUUCAGAUUGAGUGCACCACCUGCACGCUGUGGUUUCACCAGGGAUGCGUAGGCCAUCCCUCCACGGAUCAGGACUACUCAUGUCGGGCAUGUGCCUGAAAUUGUGUCGUGGAAGUUCAACCUGAGAUUGAGCGCAGUUCAAAGAGACCCUGUAAAAUUGUUAUUGUACACAUACUUGGCCAAUAAAAGAGAUUGUCAAUCCUUA